GGUGCUCUCGCCAUUCCCAGGUCCAUGUGUCCAGGAGUCCAUCCGUGUCCCCUUAGAUGUUCUCCCUUCCCCACUUUCCCAGGGUCUGCCUUAGCAACCAGUAUCUCCUUCUUUCCCAGGAGUCCGCCUCAGAUAUUCCCCUCCCCCUUCCCCAAGGGGCUUUCGCCUUUCCCAGGUCCAUGUGUCCUGGAGUCCAUCCGUGUCCCCUCAGAUGUUCUCCCUUCCCCACUUUCCCAGGGUCUGCCUUAGCAACCAGUAUCUCCUUCUUUCCCAGGUCCAUGUGUCCAGGAGUCCAUCCGUGUCCCCUCGGAUGUUCUCCCUUCCCCACUUUCCCAGGGUCUGCCUUAGCAACCAGUAUCUCCUACUUUCCCAGGUCCAUGAGUCCAGAAGUCCAUCUGUCCGCCUCAGAUAUUCCCCCUUCCUCACUUCCCCAAGGUAUCCUUGCCUUUCCCAGGUCCAUGUGUCCAGGAAUCCAUCCGUGGGCCCCCGGAUGUCUCCCCUUCC